CAGUAGCCGCGGGAAUACGUAGGUGGCAAGCGUUAUCCGGAAUUAUUGGGCGUAAAGCGCGCGUAGGCGGUUUUUUAAGUCUGAUGUGAAAGCCCGCGGCUCAACCGUGGAGGGUCAUUGGAAACUGGAAAACUUGAGUGCAGAAGAGGAAAGUGGAAUUCCAUGUGUAGCGGUGAAAUGCGCAGAUAUAUGGAGGAACACCGGUGGCGAAAGCGGCUCUCUGGCUUGUAACUGACGCUGAGGCUCGAAAGCGUGGGGCGCAAACAGGAUUAGAUACCCCGGUAGUCCCUGUCUCUUAUAU
rnacentral:rRNA from 1 species